rnacentral:rRNA from 1 species
AUUGAACGCUGGCGGCAGGCUUAACACAUGCAAGUCGAGCGGAGAGAGGUAGCUUGCUACUGAUCUUAGCGGCGGACGGGUGAGUAAUGCUUAGGAAUCUGCCUAUUAGUGGGGGACAACAUUUCGAAAGGAAUGCUAAUACCGCAUACGUCCUACGGGAGAAAGCAGGGGAUCUUCGGACCUUGCGCUAAUAGAUGAGCCUAAGUCGGAUUAGCUAGUUGGUGGGGUAAAGGCCUACCAAGGCGACGAUCUGUAGCGGGUCUGAGAGGAUGAUCCGCCACACUGGGACUGAGACACGGCCCAGACUCCUACGGGAGGCAGCAGUGGGGAAUAUUGGACAAUGGGCGCAAGCCCGAUCCAGCCAUGCCGCGUGUGUGAAGAAGGCCUUAUGGUUGUAAAGCACUUUAAGCGAGGAGGAGGCUACUUUAGUUAAUACCUAGAGAUAGUGGACGUUACUCGCAGAAUAAACACCGGCUAACUCUGUGCCAGCCGCCGCGGUAAUAC